GUUCAUUCACCGAGCUUUCUGUGGCCUUGUCUGGGAGCUCUUCCUCUCGCCUUUCACCACUUAGCACUUUCAUAAUUAGGGUCUUCACAGGCUCUUGGGCAGAUCUGACCCAUAGAAUCUGGAAGUGAGAGAGUUGGGCCCAGCUUCCCACCAACCUCCAAGGCCAGUGCUCCUCACAGAGCCCUUAUGCAAACUUCUGCUGAAGGUGGGCUGGGAAGGGCCUGUGACAGGCCAGCAGCCAAGGGCACCUUCACAGGGUCAGCGUGUCUACCAACCCUGCCAACCCUGCUUCAUCUUGCGAGGGCAUUACAAAACCUGAGGUAGAGAAGUUGGACUGAUUUUUUUUCCCGUUUCUUUUUUCCCUUGUAUAGCCUUCUUUUUUAAAUUUUAUUGUGAACGUAAUACAUAUAUUUACUAUUGAAAAUAGUAAAGGCCCAAAGAAGGACAUAAACCUUACCCUUAAUUCAGUCUCUCAGAUAUAAUCAAUGUUAGUAUUUUGGUAUCUGUAUCUCCAGUCUUUUCCCGACUUGUUCCUAUAUCGUGACCUUGCAUCCAUUUUAAUAAAUAGUCCUCUGAA